rnacentral:rRNA from 1 species
AUGGAGUCUAAGGAUGCUACAUUCUUUGAGGAUAUUUUUCCUAUGAGAGAUAUGCAAAGCACUUCUAGACAGGAAUCUGAGGAGACUCCUGAACCUGCCAUCCCUAUGGAAUAUUAUGAACAAACACAUGAUGAAAAUCCCGAGGAGGAUGACGAGGAAACCCUUGGUAGGGGCAAGAGACAAAGGACUGCAAAGACCUUUGGUGAUGAUUUCUUCGUGUACCUCGUGGAUGAUACUCCCACUUCUAUUUCAGAAGCGUAUGCCUCUCCAGAAGCUGACUACUGGAAGGAUGCGGUCCGUAGCGAGAUGGAUUCCAUCAUGGCUAACGGGACAUGGGAGAUCACUGACCGUCCCUAUGGUUGCAAACCACUGGGAUGUAAGUGGGUGUUCAAAAAGAAGCUUAGGCCCGAUGGUACGAUUGAAAAGUACAAGGCUAGGCUUGUGGCCAAGGGCUAUGACCAGCAAGAAGAGGAAGAUUUCUUUGAUACUUAUUCACCUGUGGCUAGACUGACCACCAUUCGAGUAUUACUCUCGUUGGCGGCUUCACAUGGUCUUCUCAUCCAUCAGAUGGAUGUUAAGACGGCUUUUCUAAAUGGAGAGCUAAAGGAGGAAAUCUACAUGCAACAGCCUGAUGGCUUUGUGAUAGAUGGUCAGGAAAGAAAGGUGUGUAGGUUGAUAAAAUCUUUAUAUGGCCUGAAACAAGCACCUAAGCAAUGGCAUGAUAAGUUUAAUACAACUCUUACAUCUGUUGGUUUCGUUGUUAAUGAGGCUGACAAAUGUGUAUACUAUCGCCAUGGUGGGGGCGAAGGAGUUAUACUGUGCUUGUAUGUUGAUGACAUACUGAUAUUCGGAACAAACCUCAAAGUCAUUGAGGAGGUCAAAUCGUUUCUAUCUCAGAACUUUGAGAUGAAAGACCUUGGUGUGGCUGAUGUUAUCUUGAACAUCAAGCUACUGAGAGAUAAUGAGGGUGGGAUCACACUUCUGCAAUCCCAUUACGUUGAGAAGGUGUUGAGUCGUUUUGGAUAUUCGGACUGCACACCAUCUCAAACACCAUAUGAUCCUAGCGUAUUGAUUCGAAAGUCCAAAGGCAUGGCUAAAGAUCAAUUGAGAUACUCUCAAAUCAUUGGUUCACUAAUGUACCUAGCAAGCGCAACGAGGCCUGACAUCGCGUUUGCUGUGAGCAAACUGAGCCGGUUUGUUUUCAAACAGGGUGAUGUACAUUGGCAUGCUGUUGAGAGAGUUAUGCGCUAUCUGAAAGGUACUAUGAACUAUGGACUUCACUAUACCGGAUACCCGUCGGUACUUGAAGGGUAUAGUGAUGCGAAUUGGAUCUCUGAUGCUGAUGAGAUGAAGGCCACAACUGGGUAUAUGUUUACUCUUGGAGGUGGCGCUGUUUCCUGGAAGUCUUGCAAGCAAACGAUCUUAACGAGAUCGACAAUGGAAGCAGAAUUAACGGCAUUAGACACAUCUGGUGUUGAAGCGAGAUGGCUUCGAGAUCUUUUGAUGGACUUGCCAUUGGUUGAUAAACCGGUUCCGGCUAUCCUUAUGAACUGUGACAAUCAGACUGUCAUCACCAAGGUGAAGAGUUCAAAGGACAACAUGAAGUCCACCAAACACAUAAGAAUGAGAUUAAAAGCUGUCAGAAAAUUAAGAGACUCCGGAGUGAUAGCGUUGGACUAUGUCCAUACGGCUAAGAAUCUGGCAGAUCCCUUUACAAAAGGGCUAUCACGUGUUGUGAUAGAUAACGCAUCGAGGGAGAUGGGUAUGAGACCCACAUGA